rnacentral:lncRNA from 1 species
GAAGCAGUCACCUCAGUGUCUGGGGCUCCUGAGUACAUCAGCUUUCCAGCUGUGCUUUCCAGGCACUCAACAUCUCCUUCUGAGUUCUGAGACACUAUGGCAGUUUUUGCUUAUAUUCAAGAUGCUGACGCAGUGCCAGGAAGCUUAAGUUCACGAGAGCAAAAGUGUGCGCUGGAGCUGUAACAAGGAUGGUAGUAGUGAGUAGCAGAUUUCCUCGAGACCUUGUGCCAGGCUGGGGAUGUGGCUAUGCAGAUCCCAUGGAUUUAGAGACAAAUCUGAGAAGACAUUGCUUUAAUUCCUCUCAGGUGUGUAAUGUGGAGUUCCCAGCGUGUGCCCACAGAUGCACAGACAAGCUGACUGAAGGAGAAGGUCCACUCGGAAACUGAAGGGGUUAAACAGUAAGGUUUAUGCAGCUGUGCCUAAAGGUGAGUCAGGUGGGAGCUGAUAGCAGUAAAGGAGAAUAAAUGGGCUUGACUGAUAAAUUGCUUCCUGAUA